UACGUAGGGUGCGAGCGUUAAUCGGAAUUACUGGGCGUAAAGCGUGCGCAGGCGGUGAUGUAAGACCGAUGUGAAAUCCCCGGGCUUAACCUGGGAACUGCAUUGGUGACUGCAUCGCUCGAGUAUGGCAGAGGGGGGUAGAAUUCCACGUGUAGCAGUGAAAUGCGUAGAGAUGUGGAGGAAUACCGAUGGCGAAGGCAGCCCCCUGGGUCAAUACUGA
rnacentral:rRNA from 1 species